ensembl:rRNA 5S_rRNA 5S ribosomal RNA
GCCAGCAGCCAUAUCACCCUGGAACUCACAACUGGCAACCCACUGAAGCUAAGCAGGUGUGAGCUUGGUCAGUACCUGGAUGGAGACCUCCUGGGAAAAACUAAGGUUGCUGCUGGAA